GCCAGGGUCAGGUCUGCUAGUGUGGCUGGUUCAAGUCCUAAGGCUGAGGAGACUGAGGGAGAGCAAGCCAUCACAGGAUGGAAGGACCAGGCCUCUACCAAGCCUGGGACUAGUAUUAGGGCCAGUGCCCUAAAUGUGAGGGCAGAGUGUAUCCCCCAGGAAGUCCUGGAGGUGAACCUGAGACUGAGCGUAGCCCCACUGGUCUAACAAAGGAAGGGCCUGGUAGUCAGAAAGGUUACAGACUUCCCGAGUGGCACAGCGGUCUAAGGCACUGCAGGCGUCACUACAGACCUGGGUUCGAUCCCGGGCUGUGUUGCAGCCGGCCGCGACCGGGAGACGGCGCACAAUUGGCCCAGCGUCGUCCGGGUUAGGGAAGGGUUUGGCCUUCCGGGAUGUCCUUGUCCCAUCGCACUCUAGCGACUCCUGCGGUGGGCCGGGCGCAUGCCUGAUGACAUGGUUGCCAGUUGUACAGUGUUUCCUCCGACACAUUGGUAUGGCUGGCUUCCGGGUUUUUUGUCAGUGAAUUUAUCAGUGCUCAUUUGGAAAUUAAAACAAAAGCAUCCAUCCGUUGCUUGCUCCCUCUAGGCAUCAAGGUGCAGAGGAGCUGUAAGCAGGAUAGAGGGGCCAACGGGGCCUCUCGGAGGAGGACGGCGAGUUAGAGGCCACUGCAUUGACCAUGGUUGGAGCCUAGGUAUCUGAGAGGACUGGACCGUGUAUCUUAGGUGAGCUGCAGAGCACUGUGUGUGAUCUGGAGAAGAUAGCCAGGCUUAAAUGCACCAGAGGAUGUUGGGCCACAGGCCCACUCCAGUGUCCAUCUCCCACCCAGGCCCCCAUGUCCCCCCUACCCUACUGGUGGUCCGGGGAAUCGUGGCCAUACAGGCCCUCCGAAGCAGUCUUCAGCCUUACAGGGACAAAAAAACUACAGCCUACAGUGCUAUCUGGGACCCAGUGGCGUGCUCUGUAACAAGGCUACUACAGUGUAGAGGCUGUGCCUUCCAGAAUCCCUCUUCCUCGUCUGCUGCUGUGGUGGAAGCUGAGAUCCAGCACCCACGGGACCCCACCCUGGACCAGGUAAGUCUCAACCUUACAGGGAGGGACAUAGCACCUUGUACUAGGUCUGGUUGUCCUCUAGCUGGUGCUCCCCUACACACACACACACACACACGCGCAUACAAACAAUUGUUGAUUCCUUGAAAGCAGUUUAUGCAUAAGGAGAGACUAAUAUCCACUAUUUGGGUUUGAUUGGGGCAAUUCCAUGGUAACAGAAUGAUGCUGAGACUCUGAGUUUUCACUUUAAAAUGUAUGUCAAACAAAAACCAAUGACUGCAAAGUUAAUCAAAUCAUACAAUUAUAUGCACAAGGAGUACUUUUAACAAUUUCCACAGAAAAUUCUACAAAAACACAUUUUCUUGAACAGUGCAGAUGCCAAGUUUGUGUGUGCCAUUAUUCUGUUCCCAAAGUUUGCACUAACCAUUAAUAUCAGCAUUUUCUAACCAGAAACCAACUGAAGUCAAUGUGCCCCAAAUGUUUGCAUCAUGAUCAGGACAGUAACGUAAACCUGACCAUAACGGUUCUAAUCAGUUCUAGGAAUGAGAGGUAUAAUUGACUGUAUAACAUAUGUAAUGACAUCUCUUUUGUUCUGCACUUAGAAAAUAACAGUGUACUAUCUUCAUAUGUUACUGUGGGUUUGAAGUGUGGGUUCAGUAACCAAUGUGACAGUUGGAGGUGGCAUUGUAACCAAUAUCUGGCCCUCUCUUUUGUGUUCAGAAAUAUGCUGUAAAUAUUGAACUUAAUAAUGAUAUAAAAUUACCGUUAUGGUACCG
rnacentral:lncRNA from 8 species